UACGGAGGGUGCGAGCGUUGCUCGGAAUCACUGGGCGUAAAGCGUACGCAGCUGUCUCGUAAGUCGGGUGUGAAAGCCCGGGGCUCAACCCCGGAAUUGCGCCCGAGACUGCGGGGCUUGAGUGCGGCAGAGGAGACUAGAAUUCCUGGUGUAGCAGUGAAAUGCGUAGAUAUCAGGAGGAAUACCGAUGGCGAAGGCAGGUCUCUGGGCUGACACUAACGCUCAUGCACGAAAGCGUGGGGAGCAACAGG
rnacentral:rRNA from 1 species